rnacentral:rRNA from 1 species
UGGGGAAUUUUGGACAAUGGGCGAAAGCCUGAUCCAGCCAUGCCGCGUGUCUGAAGAAGGCCUUCGGGUUGUAAAGGACUUUUGUCAGGGAGCAAAACCGCGUCGCUAAUAACGGCGCGGAAUGAGAGUACCUGAAGAAUAAGCACCGGCUAACUACGUG